UACGUAGGGUGCAAGCGUUUAAUCGGAAUUACUGGGCGUAAAGCGUGCGCAGGCGGUUGUGCAAGACAGAUGUGAAAUCCCCGGGCUUAACCUGGGAACUGCAUUUGUGACUGCACGGCUAGAGUGUGUCAGAGGGGGGGGUAGAAAUUCCACGUGUAGCAGUGAAAAUGCGUAGAUAUGUGGAGGAAUACCGAUGGCGAAGGCAGCCCCCCUGGGAUAACACUGACGCUCAUGCACGAAAAGCGUGGGGGAGCAAA
rnacentral:rRNA from 1 species